AAUAAGCGUAGUUGUGAGUUUCAGUGUCCAACAUUGACCAUCCGUAUUAUUUGAAAUGUUUUUAUGAUUAGUAUUUUUAUUAUUUUUAGAUGAUAAAAUAUGAAUAGUAUUUUAUGCGCGACUUAACUUUAAAAAUCUUUCAUAAAUUUUUCAAAUAAGACGGACGGUCAAACGUUGGACACAGAAACUUAUCACUGCACUUAUU
rfam:Oryza sativa (indica cultivar-group) chromosome 2, whole genome shotgun sequence.